UUUGUCCAUUAAUUGUGGACUCGUAUGAAAGGCAAAAUGAGAGCCUGACUGUCUCUUACAACUAAUCAAUUAAACUGAUCUCCCAGUACAAAAGCUGGAAUACCCCCAUAAGACCAGAAGACCCUGUGAAGCUUUAACUAACCUAUUAAACCCUAUAAUAACUAAUUUCGGUUGGGGCGACCUUGGAACAAAAAAGAACUUCCAACAUAUGACCUCCUCAUAGAAAGGCAAACAAGCCACAUUAGACCCAGUAUAUCUGAUUAAUGAACCAAGUUACUCCAGGGAUAACAGCGCUAUCUUCUUCAAGAGCCCAUAUCAAAAAGAAGGUUUACGACCUCGAUGUUGGAUCAGGACAUCCUAGUAAUGCAACCGUUACUGAGGGUUCGUUUGUUCAACGAUUAACAGU
rnacentral:rRNA from 1 species